rnacentral:rRNA from 1 species
GAUGAACGCUGGCGGCGUGCCUAAUACAUGCAAGUCGAGCGAACGGACGAGAAGCUUGCUUCUCUGAUGUUAGCGGCGGACGGGUGAGUAACACGUGGAUAACCUACCUAUAAGACUGGGAUAACUUCGGGAAACCGUAGCUAAUACCGGAUAAUAUUUUGAACCGCAUGGUUCAAAAGUGAAAGACGGUCUUGCUGUCACUUAUAGAUGGAUCCGCGCUGCAUUAGCUAGUUGGUAAGGUAACGGCUUACCAAGGCAACGAUGCAUAGCCGACCUGAGAGGGUGAUCGGCCACACUGGAACUUGGACACGGUCCCGACUCCUACGGGAGGCCGCCGUAGGGAAUCUUCCGCAAUGGGCGAAAGCCUGACGGAGCCACGCCGCGUGAGUGAUGAAGGUCUUCGGAUCGUAAAACUCUGUUAUUAGGGAAGAACAUAUGUGUAAGUAACUGUGCACAUCUUGACGGUACCUAAUCAGAAAGCCACGGCUAACUACGUG